rnacentral:rRNA from 1 species
GACGAACGCUGGCGGCGUGCUUAACACAUGCAAGUCGAACGGAAAGGCCCUGCUUUUGUGGGGUGCUCGAGUGGCGAACGGGUGAGUAACACGUGAGUAACCUGCCCUUGACUUUGGGAUAACUUCAGGAAACUGGGGCUAAUACCGGAUAGGAGCUCCUGCUGCAUGGUGGGGGUUGGAAAGUUUCGGCGGUUGUGGCUGGAUUGGCGGGUUAUCCGCUAGAUGGUGGGGUAGUGGCUUUCCAAGGCUUUGACGGGUAGCCGGCCUGAGAGGGUGACCGGCCACAUGGGGACUGAGAGACGCCGCAGACGCCUACGGGAGGCAGCAGUGGGGAAUAUUGCGCAGUGGGCGGAAGCGUGAGGCAGCAACGCCGCGUGCGGGAUGACGGCUUUCGGGUUGUAAACCGCUUUCGCAGGUGACGAAGCGUGCGUGACGGUAAUGGGUAAAGAAGCACCGGCUAACUACGUG